UACGUAGGGUGCGAGCGUUGUCCGGAAUUAUUGGGCGUAAAGAGCUCGUAGGCGGUGUGUCGCGUCGGCCGUGAAAACCCGCAGCUCAACUGCGGGCUUGCGGUCGAUACGGGCAGGCUCGAGUUCGGUAGGGGAGACUGGAAUUCCUGGUGUAGCGGUGAAAUGCGCAGAUAUCAGGAGGAACACCGGUGGCGAAGGCGGGUCUCUGGGGCCGAUACUGACGCUGAGGAGCGAAAAGCCGUGGGGGAGCGAACAGG
rnacentral:rRNA from 1 species